AUGCUGUGGGCUGCGAGGUGCUGGCAGAGCAGUUGUUGGCUCCCUCCUGUCCCCAGCAGCUCCCCAGCUUCACCCGAGGUCCUGGGCUGGGCGCGAUGUCCCGGGGACACACACACACACACACACACACACACACACACACACAGGUCUGGGGGGCUCCGGCUUUGCUGCGCCCCAGUUCCUCCUCCCCAAAGCAGAGCCCAUGGAGCUGCACCCUCCUGGGGCCAUCCCUAUGCCCCCGACCCCAAAUCUGGGGGUGCCGAGGGCUCUGCUGCGGCUUGGUGGCCGGGGCUGCGCCGUGCGGUGCCACUGCCACCAGAGGGAGCGGGGACACGGAGCUGCUGCAGCAGCAGCCAGGUCCCCACGGCUGGGGACACCGCGUGCACCCCUCGGUGCUGGAGGGACCCCUUCUUUUGGGGUGGGUGGUACACAGGUGCAGUGCUGCAGCUGGAAGACAAAUGUAUUGUGGCUGGAGAAACACGGAGUUUAUUUUAUUUUGUGAUUUGGCUUUACAAAUGUUGGGGAAUCGCCCAUAGCUGGGUGGUUGCAGCGGUGCAAAAUUCCACUGCGGGGAGCCCCUUGCUCUGGGAGCCCCCCCCCGGUGUGAGCCAGCAACUUGCUUUGAUUGCUUGGACACCCCCCUACAUGGAUCAGCUCUUGCUUGGCUUCGUUAAGUUAAUGAGGGUUGUGGCUUGCUGGAGCUGCCAUCCCAGCCCUCCCCGGACAGCACGAGGGGGCUGCGGUGACCUGAUGUGCCGUAAUGAGGCCGUGGUCGUGCUCGGUGCUGGUGGCCUCAACUGGGGCAGCAGAGAGGAGCCCUGGGGUGUCCGAGCCGUGCGUGCAUCCCUGUGCAUCAGCCGUCCGGCACAAUUAGCCCAAUUAGCCCAGCCGGGGAGCGAGCCUCGCUCCAGCCCAGUGCACUUCAUCUAUGAUGGCACCGCGGGGACAAAAGGGCUGCUCCCACCCAGCUGCUCCCCACUGAGGGGCUUUGUCUUUGGGGUAGUGCCUGGGGUCUUCACGUCGUCGGGGGGAGCCAGUGUUCCUGGGAUGAAGGCUGUGCAGCAUCGCAACUGCUUGCCCGUGGAGAUGGAGGCGGGCUGGAUGGAUGGACGGAGCAUGGACAAACGGCAUUUCCUUGCUUGGAUGGACCUGGAGGUGCCCACAGAGCUGCUGCAGCUAUAG
rnacentral:lncRNA from 1 species